rnacentral:tRNA from 1 species
GAGGGUAUAGCUCAAGUGGUAGAGCGCAUGCUUAGCAUGCAUGAGGUCCUGGGUUCAAUCCUUACUACCCUCU